ensembl:lncRNA
GGUAGAAGCAUGUCACCAACAUAAUGUGGCCUUGGCCUCAGAUUGAAGGGAUAUUAUGGUGCACUUUUUGCUGUUGGAGCUGGAAACAUUCACUCUGAGGAGGGAAACACUAGCGAACCUUGGUUCACGUCAUGUUGCAAUAUCUUGCUGUCUCGUUUCUGUGUGUGGGAUUAUAAAUCUCACCACAUCACUGACAUUAAAAUCAAUCGAAUCAUCCAGAUCCAUAACCAAGCCCUGCGGAAAACGCUUCCAGGACAAAGUACACAGGAACCUUCACCCUUCUCACAGAAGUAUAAACGCUGCAUGGAGUAUCUGUUCUAUAUGCCCGAACCAGAACAUUCCUAUGAAAGGGAUGAGAUACUACAAAUCCUAG